rnacentral:rRNA from 1 species
UACGGGGGGGGCAAGCGUUGUUCGGAAUUACUGGGCGUAAAGGGCUCGUAGGCGGCCAACUAAGUCCGACGUGAAAUCCCCAGGCUUAACCUGGGAACUGCGUCGGAUACUGGAUGGCUUGAAUCCGGGAGAGGGAUGCGGAAUUCCAGGUGUAGCGGUGAAAUGCGUAGAUAUCUGGAGGAACACCGGUGGCGAAGGCGGCUCUCUGGGACGGUACUGACGCUGAGACGCGAAAGCGUGGGGAGCGAACAGG